UUUUGUGUUGAUUUUAAGAAAGUAGAAACAAAUUUGUGUGUUUAAUCACACAUUCACACAUCAUGCCUGCUUUCUACAGUCUGGUAUUUGGUAAUAGGACAACACCGCUCAUUAACGACAUUCGCAUUUCGCAGUUCGGAUUUCGGAAGGUCGUCUGCACUCUUCAGGACUGCAAAAGCUGUUUUUGUAAGGUUAAGGUGUCACACAGUCACACUCACAGCAACACAAACAGCAUUGACGGUAAAAAUCAUCCUACCACUAGGCUCCAAUGAAACAAAUCUAAGCUUUCAAGUGCAGUGUGACUGUCAAAGUUACCUCGGCCCAUGGAGACGCCAGCAAUGUAGAACAAAUACUUAAAGCUAUACCAACACUCAUCUAUAUGUGGACUGCCAUCAGGACGUUUGCCUGAAACAAGAAGAAUUCCAAUCUCCAGUCUACAUGGUGAUUGGCGUGGAUUACAGUUCCACUAUCGGCAACAACAACAAAAUCUGUUGAAGAAAAGACACUGAGAAGAACGUCAAUGCUGGUGUGGAAUCGUCGAUACAGGCAACCCAGUUUUGCUUACGUGUUUAAGAUUCAACGGGAAAAAAACCGGAUAUUCGUUCAACAUCUUCUACAGACAUCCCUUACAAUGUGAAUAACAAUAUUAUUGACGAAAUUCCUUAUUUCUCAUUUCAGACUCUGUAAUCUUUGAUUACAGCCGACCGCCUUCCAGGGUUCCGCAGGGUUCCAGGGUUUUCUUAUCAAUAAUGCAGGAGUAUUGUAUUAAUGUAUUCCAUCCUCCUAAAGAAACUGCAGAUAAAUUUGAUGUCACCUUUCAGACCAAUUAUUUGGGGCAUUUUCUUUUGAUUGAAUUACUGCUUCCAGUAUUAUCGGAUCAAAGCCGCGUAAUAUUUUUGUCAUCGGCUGCACAUUUCUUAACUAUAGAUCGAUGGUUAGACUUGAAGAGUGCAUGUAUUUUCGACAAAGGAGCACCGGAACAUCAGCAAGAUUUCAGAGUUACGCUAAAGCAAAGCUAUGCUUAUAUUGUUGUAUAGUAUGACUUUUGCACGUUCCAAGGAUAGAGGCAUUCGUGUUUAU